rnacentral:rRNA from 1 species
GACAGAGGGGGCAAGCGUUGCUCGGAAUCACUGGGCGUAAAGGGCGCGUAGGCGGGAUGGCAAGUCAGUCGUGAAAUCUCUCGGCUCAACCGAGAAACGUCGGCUGAUACUGCCGUUCUUGAGGGAUGCAGAGGAGACUGGAAUUCCCGGUGUAGCGGUGAAAUGUGUAGAGAUCGGGAGGAGCACCGGUGGCGAAGGCGGGUCUCUGGGCAUCUCCUGACGCUGAGGCGCGAAAGCGUGGGGAGCAAACGGG